AAGGAUUUAAGUUAAGCAAACUAUUAACCUUCAAAGUUAAAAAUAGAGGCAUCUUCUAAGCCUUA
rnacentral:tRNA from 1 species